rnacentral:rRNA from 1 species
UCCGGUUGAUCCUGCCGGACCCGACUGCUAUUUGGGUGAGAGUAAGCCAUGCGAGUUGUAUGGGAUACCUAAAUUUCCCAUGGCAAACUGCUCAGUAACACAUGAUCAACUUACCCUAUAGAGGAAAACAACCUCGGGAAACUGAGGAUAAUGUUCCAUAGUUGAAUCGGCUUGGAAAAGUUUUUCAACAAAAGGGAUAAGAAAAAUGGUUCUUAUCUGCUAUAGGAUAGGAUCGUGCUCGAUUAUGGUUGUUGGUGAGGUAACGGCUCACCAAGCCGAUAAUCGAUAGGGGCCGUGAGAGCGGGAGCCCCGAGAUGGGUACUGAGACAACGACCCAGGCCUUACGAGGCGCAGCAGGCGCGAAACCUCCGCAAUACACGAAAGUGUGACGGGGUUACCCAAAGUGUUCUAUUUAGAACUGUGGUAGGUGAGUAAUGUCCCCUACUAGAAAGGAGAGGGCAAGGCUGGUGCCAGCCGCCGCGGUAAAACCAGCUCUUCAAGUGGUCGGGAUAAUUAUUGGGCUUAAAGUGUCCGUAGCCGGUUUAGUAAGUUCCUGGUAAAAUCGGGUAGCUUAACUAUCUGCAUGCUAGGAAUACUGCUAUACUAGAGGGCGGGAGAGGUCUGAGGUACUAUAGGGGUAGGGGUGGAAUCUUAUAAUCCUUGUAGGACCACCAGUGGCGAAGGCGUCAGACUGGAACGCGCCUGACGGUGAGGGACGAAAGCCAGGGGAGCGAACCGGAUUAGAUACCCGGGUAGUCCUGGCCGUAAACGAUGCAUACUAGGUGAUGGUACGGCCAUGAGCCGUGUCAGUGCCGUAGGGAAACCGUUAAGUGUGCCGCCUGGGAAGUACGGUCGCAAGGCUAAAACUUAAAGGAAUUGGCGGGGGAGCACCACAAGGGGUGAAGCCUGCGGUUCAAUUGGAUUCAACGCCGGG